rnacentral:rRNA from 1 species
GACGAACGCUGGCGGCGUGCCUAAUACAUGCAAGUAGAACGCACAGUUUAUACCGUAGCUUGCUACACCAUAGACUGUGAGUUGCGAACGGGUGAGUAACGCGUAGGUAACCUGCCUGGUAGCGGGGGAUAACUAUUGGAAACGAUAGCUAAUACCGCAUAAUAUUAAUUAUUGCAUGAUAAUUAAUUGAAAGGUGCAAUUGCACCACUACCAGAUGGACCUGCGUUGUAUUAGCUAGUAGGUGAGGUAACGGCUCACCUAGGCGACGAUACAUAGCCGACCUGAGAGGGUGAUCGGCCACACUGGGACUGAGACACGGCCCAGACUCCUACGGGAGGCAGCAGGAGGGAAUCUUCGGCAAUGGACGAAAGGCUGACCGAGCAACGCCGCGUGAGUGAAGAAGGGUGUCGGAUCGUAAAGCUCUGUUGUAAGAGAAGAACGGGUGUGAGAGUGGAAAGUUCACACUGUGACGGUAUCUUAACAGAAAGGGACGGCUAACUACGUG